AAGUAAAUCCCAUGACAUAUAACUUACAUUAGGUUGGGCAUCACUUACUAACCAUCUCAUCGCAUCUAACAUAUUUUGACGAGUGGGAAUUGCCCUUUGGUUGCUUGCCGUGUCUGUCAUAAUAACUAAAAAAGUUUUAGCAAGAUGUUCUCGUAAUCAACCAUACCCAUAUCUUCUUGCUUGUAACCGUAGCGCUGUAUCAGCAGUUGGGACAUAGACAUGACAUCUUAAACAAGUUAAUAUAUGUUUACUUGACCUUUCGCAUUCCGUACCAUUAAUGCAACCUUGCAACUCAUUUUGGGUAUUGAGAUAGUUAAUUCCGAUCAGCAAAGCCUUUCGCUUCCCUUGGCAAGUUGAAUACUGAUACUGAAAGUUUCCUCCUCCUGCUAAGUUAUAAGAUUGAGUCUGAGUGUUUGGCAGCUGAGGCCCACUAUAAUUUGGGUUGCCAUAAGAAUUAGCACCAGUAUUCGGAGGCGGACCUGAGGGUGGGGCAUAAGCAUGGGAGUUUGCAGAGCUCAAACUUAUAUGACCAACAUUCUCCAUAGGGAUUUGAUUAGAAUUGCCGUCUGUCUGAGGCCUUGUGGAAGGGGGUGGCAUACGUGGAGGCUGAUAUUGAUGUACAGUGUUAUUACUUUGAGAACCAUUAUUUGGUGAAUAAUUAGGUCUAGUAUAUGUAUUAUAUGGUGGAUAUUGCCCACCGUUAUAAGGAUUGGAGUUGUAGCUCAUGUUGAUGGGAAGUUGGAUAGUGCUUAACUAUGCUACUUUCAAUAAAAUACCAGAU